GUAGGGUCCAAGCGUUAAUCGGAAUUACUGGGGCGUAAAGCGUGCGCAGGCGGUUGUGCAAGACCGAUGUGAAAUCCCCGGGGCUUAACCUGGGAAUUGCAUUGGUGACUGCACGGCUAGAGUGUGUCAGAGGGGGGUAGAAUUCCACGUGUAGCAGUGAAAUGCGUAGAGAUGUGGAGGAAUACCGAUGGCGAAGGCAGCCCCCUGGGAUAACACUGACGCUCAUGCACGAAAGCGUGGGGAGCAAACAGGAUUAGAUACCCUGGUAGUCCACGCCCUAAACGAUGUCAACUAGUUGUUGGGGAUUCAUUUCCUUAGUAACGUAGCUAACGCGUGAAGUUGACCGCCUGGGGAGUACGGUCGCAAAGAUUA
rnacentral:rRNA from 1 species